rnacentral:rRNA from 1 species
CUAUUAUUCUUUAUUUUAAAAUUUUUUAGUUACUUAGGUAGUACGAAUAUGGUUAAUAUAUUAAACCUUUUAUGUUUGUUUAAAACUUAAAAGGCUUGGCGGUGUUAUAUAUCCUUCCAGGGGAGCUUGCUUGUUAAUUUGAUAAUCCUCAAUUUAUACUUACUUUUUCUUGAAUGUAAACAGUUUGUGUAUUGCUGUCGUCAGUUUAUUUCGUAAGAAUUUGGAAAAAAACUUGACAACGUAAGGGUUACCAUGUCAAGUCAAAAUGCAGCUAAUGAGAAAGGCUUAAGUGAGCUACAGUUUGUAAUUUCUAUAGCGAAUUAAACCAUGUAACUGGUUUAUAAAGAUGGACUUGGUAGUAAUAAAAAUUAAUUAAAUAGUGAGUUUUUAUGAAUUAGGUUUUAUAACGUGU